UUUUUUUUUUUUUUUUUUUUUUUUUUUUUUUUUUUUUUUUUUUUCUUCC
rnacentral:ribozyme from 1 species